UACGUAGGGUGCGAGCGUUAAUCGGAAUUACUGGGCGUAAAGCGUGCGCAGGCGGUUGUGCAAGACAGAUGUGAAAUCCCCGGGCUUAACCUGGGAACUGCAUUUGUGACUGCAUGGCUAGAGUGUGGCAGAGGAGGGUGGAAUUCCACGUGUAGCAGUGAAAUGCGUAGAGAUGUGGAGGAACACCGAUGGCGAAGGCAGCCCUCUGGGCUAACACUGACGCUCAUGCACGAAAGCGUGGGGAGCAAACAGG
rnacentral:rRNA from 1 species